GAUGAAGAACGCAGCGAAAUGCGAUAAGUAAUGUGAAUUGCAGAAUUCAGUGAAUCAUCGAAUCUUUGAACGCACAUUGCGCCCGCCAGUAUUCUGGCGGGCAUGCCUGUUCGAGCGUCAUUUCAACCAUCAAGCCCCCGGCUUGUGUUGGGGACCUGCGGCUGCCGCAGGCCCUGAAAAGCAGUGGCGGGCUCGCUGUCACUCCGAGCGUAGUAGUUACAUCUCGCUCUGGGCGUGCUGCGGGUUCCGGCCGUUAAAAGCCUUAUUUACCCAAGGUUGACCUCGGAUCAGGUAGGAAGACCCGCUGAACUUAAGCAUAUCAAUAAGCGGAGGA
rnacentral:misc_RNA from 1 species